AUGAGGAAUAUUGCGCAAUGGGCGAAAGCCUGACGCAGCGACGCCGCGUGGGUGAGGAAGUCCUUCGGGAUGUAAAGCCCUUUUCUCGGGGACGAAACGGACGGUACCCGAGGAAGAAGCCCCGGCUAACUACGUGCCAGCAGCCGCGGUAAUACGUAGGGGGCAAGCGUUGUCCGGAUUUACUGGGCGUAAAGCGCGCGUAGGCGGAACUUCAAGUCCGGUCUGAAAGCCCCCGGCUCAACCGGGGAGGGUGGCUGGAAACUGGGGUUCUUGAGGGCGAGAGAGGAGGGUGGAAUUCCUGGUGUAGCGGUGAAAUGCGUAGAGAUCAGGAGGAACACCCGGGGCGAAGGCGGCCCUCUGGCUCGACCCUGACGCUGAGGCGCGAAAGCGUGGGGAGCGAACGG
rnacentral:rRNA from 1 species